UGCAAGUCGAACGAGAACGGAUUAUAGCUUGCUAUAAUUGUCAGCUAAGUGGCGCACGGGUGAGUAAUAUAUAGAUAACCUGCCCUCUAGAAAGGAAUAACAGUUGGAAACGACUGCUAAUGCCCUAUAUGCCUUUAAUACAUAAGUAUGCAAGGGAAACGCUUUAGUGCUAGAGGAUGGGUCUGUAUGGUAUCMGCUUGUUGGUGAGGUAAUGGCUCACCAAGGCUAUGACSCCUAACUGGUUUGAGAGGAUGAUCAGUCACACUGGAACUGAGACACGGUCCAGACUCCUACGGGAGGCAGCAGUGGGGAAUAUUGCACAAUGGACGAAAGUCUGAUGCAGCAACGCCGCGUGGAGGAUGACACAUUUCGGUGCGUAAACUCCUUUUAUAUAGGAAGAUAAUGACGGUACUAUAUGAAUAAGCACCGGCUAACUCCGUGCCAGCAGCCGCGGUAAUACGGAGGGUGCAAGCGUUACUCGGAAUCACUGGGCGUAAAGAGCGUGUAGGCGGAUAUAUAAGUCA
rnacentral:rRNA from 1 species